rnacentral:rRNA from 1 species
CCUACGGGUGGCAGCAGUGAGGAAUAUUGGUCAAUGGACGGAAGGCUGAACCAGCCAAGCCGCGUGAAGGACGAAGGUGCCAAGCAUUGUAAACUUCUUUUGUCAAGGGACAAAAUCAGGCUCGAGAGCAUGACCGAGGGUACUUGAAGAAAAAGCAACGGCUAACUCCGUGCCAGCAGCCGCGGUAAUACGGGGGAUGCGAGCGUUAUCCGGAUGUAUUGGGUUAAAGGGGUGCGUAGGCGGGCGGUUAAGUAAGCGGUAAAAGCCCGGGGCUCAACCCCGGCGAGCCGUUGAAACUGGGUGUCUUGAGAUGUCGAGGGGUAUGCGGAAUGCGCAGUGUAGCGGUGAAAUGCUUAGAUAUUGCGCAGAACUCCGAUUGCGAAGGCAGCAUACCGGCGGCGAUCUGACGCUGAGGCACGAAAGCGUGGGUAUCGAACAGGAUUAGAUACCCCGGUAGUC